GGUGGCGAGUGGCGAACGGGUGAGUAAUGUAUCGGAACGUACCUUCAGUGGGGAUAACGUAGCGAAAGUUACGCUAAUACCGCAUAUUCUGUGAGCAGGAAAGCAGGGGAUCGCAAGACCUUGCGCUGAUUGAGCGGCCGAUAUCAGAUUAGCUAGUUGGUGAGACCGUUUACCUCACCAAGGCGACGAUCUGUAGCGGGUCUGAGAGGAUGAUCCGCCACACUGGAACUGAGACACGGUCCAGACUCCUACGGGAGGCAGCAGUGGGGAAUUUUGGACAAUGGGCGCAAGCCUGAUCCAGCCAUGCCGCGUGAGUGAAGAAGGCCUUCGGGUUGUAAAGCUCUUUCAGCCGGGAAGAAAACGCAUGGGUUAAUACCCUGUGUGGAUGACGGUACCGGAAUAAGAAGCACCGGCUAACUACGUG
rnacentral:rRNA from 1 species